UACGAAGGGGGCUAGCGUUGCUCGGAAUCACUGGGCGUAAAGCGCACGUAGGCGGUUCUUUAAGUCAGGGGUGAAAUCCCAAGGCUCAACCUUGGAACUGCCUUUGAUACUGGGGAUCUCGAGUCCGGAAGAGGUGAGUGGAACUGCGAGUGUAGAGGUGAAAUUCGUAGAUAUUCGGAAGAACACCAGUGGCGAAGGCGGCUCACUGGUCCGGUACUGACGCUGAGGUGCGAAAGCGUGGGGAGCAAACAGG
rnacentral:rRNA from 1 species